UGCGAAAAGGCUUGGCGAUGUGUAGUGUGUAGUCUCUUAUUUCAAUCUGCCCGUUCUUUCGACGCGGCAAGCAGAGAGAGCCAGCGAUCUCCCGGAGAGCGGCCAUGGAAGAGAAGACCCCAAGCUUCAAGAACCCGAUCUGCCGAGAGUACCAGGGCCACAAGAAGAAGGUACGUGGAGAGGAAAAGCAAUCUUUUGGGAAUGAGAUUUCUUAGAAUGCCUAUAUGAUUUCUUUCCCUUUCCUUUUACUUGCCCUGGGAUCCACGGAAAACCCUGGAUAUUUUGUCUCUCUUUUUUCCUAACGGGAUGAUGUCUUCUUCUAACGGUGAGGUUCACUUGGUGGCGUGGAAUUGUUUGGGUACCAAGCUCGCGUCUUUCUUUGUUGAUUACAGCGGCUAGGGAAGAGAUGACCCCAAACUUCAAGAACCCGAUUCGCAGAGUAUACCAGGGCCACAAGAAGAAGGGCAAAAUCAAAGAUAUUGUGUUAAAAGGGCAUACAGACACAGCAUAGAUCUUAGAUCAACUAUGCUGGGACCUCAAGCAUCCUGAUAUAGUUGCAUCUGCAGCCGUAGACAAGACUGUAUGCCUUUGGGAUGCUCACAGUGGAAAAUGCUCUUAACAUUGUUGAAUUCUAGAGGAGAAACCAUCAGUAUCACAUACAAACCUGAUGGAAUUCAUAUUGCUGUUGGAAAUAAGCUAAUUUUAGUUCAUUUAAAAGCAAUCUGAGGUGCUAAGGAUUGAUUUAUCUUGGCUUAUAUUGUGAGCCUAUGCAAAGUUAAAUGCCAAAAUCAUGGGAACCAGCAUCACACAUAACAUGUGACAUGGAGGAUGAGCUUCUAAUACUGGAUGUUCGGAAGUUUAAACCGAUACAUUGGCGCAAAAUUACUUAUCAGGUACUGUUGAGGUACUGGGUUAUCCAUCUCUUAAGCUGCUUCACACUUUGGUGGCUUGUCCGGCAGGUUGCUCUUAUAUCACAAUUGAUCUCAUAUGAAGGUGAUCAGGAUAUUCUUCUUCUUAUUAUUUUUAAUCUGCAUCCCAUUCUCAUAUCUACCGUUUGUGACAGUGGUUUUACUUUAUGAAUAAGAGAAUAGAAUAAUUACAAAAGUAAAUGCUAGGCACUUCCUCUUGCAUGGAGUUGAUGCUCUGGUCAUUCUCAUUUCAUUUUUCACUCGCCUUGGGCAGAACAUGCCCACAAUAGUUUCCAGAUCAGUUAGUACUAAAAUUAG